rnacentral:rRNA from 1 species
CCUACGGGAGGCAGCAGUGAGGAAUAUUGGUCAAUGGGCGAGAGCCUGAACCAGCUAAGUCGCGUGAAUGAUGACGGCCCUACGGGUUGUAAACUUCUUUUGUCAGGGAGCAAUUGGGUCCACUCGUGGGCUUAGCGCGAGUACCUGACUAAAAAGCAUCGGCUAACUCCGUUCCAGCAGCCGCGGUAAUACGGAGGAUGCGAGCGUUAUCCGGUUUUAUUGGGUUUAAAGGGUGCGUGGGCGGAAUAUCAAGUCAGCGGUAAAAAUUCGGGGCUCAACACCGUCGUGCCGUUGAAACUGAUGUUCUGGAGUGGGCGAGAAGUAUGCGGAAUGCGUGGUGUAGCGGUGAAAUGCAUAGAUAUCACGCAGAACUCCGAUUGCGAAGGCAGCAUACCGGCGCCCAACUGACGCUGAAGCACGAAAGCGUGGGUAUCGAACAGGAUUAGAUACCCUUGUAGUC